UACGUAGGGGGCAAGCGUUGUCCGGAUUUAUUGGGCGUAAAGAGCGUGUAGGCGGCCAGGUAGGUCAGCUGUGAAAACUCGAGGCUCAACCUCGAGACGCCGGUUGAAACCAUCUGGCUAGAGUCCGGAAGAGGAGAGUGGAAUUCCUGGUGUAGCGGUGAAAUGCGCAGAUAUCAGGAAGAACACCCGUGGCAAGGCGGCUCUCUGGUACGGUACUGACGCUGAGACGCGAAAGCGUGGGUAGCAAACAGG
rnacentral:rRNA from 1 species